GGGAUAAUAGCUCAGUGAUAGAGCACAUGCUUAACAAGCACAAGGUCCUGGGUUCAAUCCCUAGUACCUCCA
rnacentral:tRNA from 1 species